rnacentral:rRNA from 1 species
UACAGAGGGGGCAGGCGUUAUUCGGAAUUAUUGGGCGUAAAGGGCGCGUAGGCGGCUUGGCAAGUGGAUGGUGAAAUCCCUCGGCUUAACCGAGGAACUGCCGUCCAAACUGCUUCGCUUGAGACCGGGAGAGGUGAGUGGAAUUCCCAAUGUAGCGGUGAAAUGCGUAGAUAUUGGGAGGAACACCAGUGGCGAAGGCGGCUACCUGGACCGGAACUGACGCUGAUGCGCGAAAGCGUGGGUAGCAAACAGG